AGUGAACGCUGGCGGUAGGCCUAACACAUGCAAGUCGAACGGCAGCACAGUAAGAGCUUGCUCUUACGGGUGGCGAGUGGCGGACGGGUGAGGAAUACAUCGGAAUCUACUUUUUCGUGGGGGAUAACGUAGGGAAACUUACGCUAAUACCGCAUACGAUCUACGGGUGAAAGCAGGGGAUCUUCGCACCUUGCGCGAUUGAAUGAGCCGAUGUCGGAUUAGCUAGUUGGUAGGGUAAAGGCCCACCAAGGCGACGAUCCGUAGCUGGUCUGAGAGGAUGAUCGGCGACACUGGAAAUGAGCGGCGGUCCAGAGAACUACGGGAGGGCGCAGUAGGGGACGGUGGGCAAUGGGGGCAAGUAUGACGGAACAAGGCGGAGUCAGUGACGACGGCCUUGGGAUCGUAAAGACCUGUUAUGAGGGAAGAAAAUAUGUCUCCGGAAACGAGGAGAUAGUGACGGUAACUAAUAAAAAAGCACCGGCUAACUACGUG
rnacentral:rRNA from 1 species